GUCCAGACAAGGAUGGCCCUGGAGGUCCUGGUGGCCCUGGCAGUCCAGGUUGACCAUCAUAGCCUCUUCCUGGUGUUCCAGGAGGUCCCUGAGGGCCCGGUGGACCAACAAUUGAUUCUCCUUUUGGGCCCUGGCCUACCAGGAAGACCAGGAGGACCAGGGGGGCCCUGAAGAUGACCCAAAAGAAAUACGGAUUUAGUUAAAAGGCUCUCCGUCAACUCCUGGAGGUCCUUCAGCCCCAUCCAGGCCUGGUGGCCCUGGUGGUCCAGGGAGACCAGCCACCUGCUGCACAACAGAGCCGUCACCCAGUUGGAGAACCUCGGCCGCAGGUCCUGGAGGACCAGGAGGACCACGGGGCCCCUGUACACCACGUUCACCCUUUUUGCCAGGGUAUCCAAAGCCAGGCUCACCCUGGUCGCACUGAAAGCUCCUUUUCACCAUCACAGCUUUUCUUCUGUUACAACUCAACCCUGAAACUCACCCCCAUCCACUCCACAAUGCCCGCUCUCUGUUUCACCUCCAAACACUCACUUUGAAGAUGACAGCUGACUCCAGACCUGUGAUGCCUCCUUCCUCUGAAGAUCCAGAUGCCUGAGCUGACAUGGUGAACCCCAACUGAAUCUGGAUUUUGGUUGUGGUAAAUGUCUUUGUCUGCAUUCUAAGCUUUGUUACUUUAUUUCUGCAAAGUUUUGUUUUCCACAUGUGUUUUUGAAGUACAUAUUGGGAAAAUUGGGAAACCAUCCUGUCUAACAACCUGGAUCAGAAAAGCCAGUUGCUUUCUUUCUGCCACAGAUUGACCUCUCCAGGUAGAACAACAUCUAUGUACUGAGAUUCCCCUAUCAAAUGAAUUGAAAGAUGGCACUGUGGGAGCCACUAAGACUGCAGUCAAAUUCAAUAGUGUAAGUUAGUAUGAUCCUGGACCACUAAUGUUUUAGUCUCUAAAUUUAUUUGCAGUUAUAUUAAAUAUUAAUAAUUUGUGUUUUGUAUGUCAAACAGAUUCUAAAUUCCGAAAAUAUGUUAUUAUUCAAAAUGGCUAAAUGUGUCAUGAUGGGAUAUGACUUUGAUCACUAGAAAGCAGCAACAUGAUCCUUAGUGGUACACAUGCACCCCCUUGGCUGUGUGAUUGUUUCAGAUUAAUUUGCACAAUGGUCUACAGGGGAUAAAAGGUCAGCGGUGUGUUUCUGCCUCUUCUGCCAAGGUGGUUUUAUGGACAGAUGUUUUAAGCAUUAAUU